ensembl:lncRNA
CUUUGUUAUCUUUUCUUCCCUGAUCUUCCCUUCUUCUCUGUCCCUUUCCCCCCCACCCCUUCCCUCCACGUGCCCAUGGCCUGCCUCCUUUCCUCUCCUCUAUUCUUAUUGUCUCAUUAAACCUCUCUAUGUGGAGCCAUGUUGGCAUGUCGGAGUCAUCUGGGAAGAGGAUCCGCAGUCGAGAAAAUGCCUCCAUCUGAUUGGCUCUGUGCAAGUCUGUGGGGCAUUUUCUUGAUUAGUUAUUGAUAUGGGACAGCCCAGCUCAUUGUGAGCAGUGCCACCCUUGUGCAAAGGUUCUUGGAAUGUGCAAGAAGGAAAGCAGGCUGAGCAAGCCAUGACCAAGACAACAAGCAACCAAAGAACACAUCCAUGAGCCCUUUUCCUGCUACGGUGGAGAAGAUUCUCAUCAGCAUUCAUCAGCCCUAGAGCUGCUGACACAGGAGAGGACAGA